GACGAACGCUGGCGGCGUGCCUAAUACAUGCAAGUUGAGCGCUGAAGGUUGGUACUUGUACCGACUGGAUGAGCAGCGAACGGGUGGGUAACGCGUGGGGAAUCUGCCUUUGAGCGGGGGACAACAUUUGGAAACGAAUGCUAAUACCGCAUAAAAACUUUAAACACAAGUUUUAAGUUUGAAAGAUGCAAUUGCAUCACUCAAAGAUGAUCCCGCGUUGUAUUAGCUAGUUGGUGAGGUAAAGGCUCACCAAGGCGAUGAUACAUAGCCGACCUGAGAGGGUGAUCGGCCACAUUGGGACUGAGACACGGCCCAAACUCCUACGGGAGGCAGCAGUAGGGAAUCUUCGGCAAUGGACGAAAGUCUGACCGAGCAACGCCGCGUGAGUGAAGAAGGUUUUCGGAUCGUAAAACUCUGUUGGUAGAGAAGAACGUUGGUGAGAGUGGAAAGCUCAUCAAGUGACGGUAACUACCCAGAAAGGGACGGCUAACUACGUG
rnacentral:rRNA from 1 species